rnacentral:SRP_RNA from 2 species
GACCUAGGCCCGUGCGGCUUCAACGCCCAAACCGUGUCAGGAUCGGAAGGUAGCAGCACCACGGGAUGCUUUAGGUUGGCGCGGUCGCCUGGGUCGUC